GGAAGCUACCCUCUUUAAGAUGCUGCCAGGCGAAACAACUUUGUGGUGGCAUGCAUAGGGUUAGAAAGAGCCAUCUGCCCAGACCCCCCACAAGAAUGUGCGCUGAUAAAGGCGCGGGCUCAAUGUAAAAUUAAUGAGGGGAAGAAAUUGGAAAUUAAGCCCCCAGUCUUUCAGGCAAAGCCACUAGUUUAAACUCCGUCACCUCAAAUUCAGCCCCCAACGUUUUGGAACUUUGUCUGUGUAAAUCUAAAUACAGACUGUGCUUUCUCAUGAAGUAUUUAAUCUGUCUCUUUAGUAGCUUUAGCAAACUUGUGAUUUGCCCUAUUUGUCAGGAGCAGCCUUAGUUUCCAGAACACACACAUGCAUGUUUCCCAAGGAAUGUACUCAAGGACAGCAGGGACAGAACUGGAGAGAUUUUGAAUCUUGGUGUAAGACCUUGAGACCAAAUUCCUUCCUGGUUUUGGAUCAGAGCCCGUAUGGCUUCAGCUGUAUUCAACUGCCUGCUCUGGGCAUAGGAGAGACACCAGAAGAAGAGAACCUGAGGUCUUCUUGAUGGUAUUGAGCUAUGACUAACAUCAACCCUGACAUUGACCAUGCUUGCUUGAUGGGAAUUGGAAUCCAAUAACAUCUGGAGGGCCACCCCUCUUCUACAUUUUCUUAUAACAGAGCUUGUGCUAUACUUCUGUGGGUGACCUAAACAUGUCCUGUUUACUGGCAUGCUAUCAAGGGCUGACAACAUUACAUUGUACCCUGUGGUUUGAGUGGAUCAGAUCCAAUGAAUUAGCUCAUCUGAGAUCGGAAUGAAUACAGGCAAGUCUAAUAUCCUCUAAUGCAUAGAAGCAAGGAAACUCCUAAUACU